rnacentral:lncRNA from 1 species
GCGCCGACCUUGAUCUCGUAGCCGGCGCCAGCAGCCGCGCUUUGGGGCGUCGGCUCACGUGGGGCCGGCAACGCGUCUUCCAGGAUGUUCGCGCGCUAGUCGCCGCUGAGGGGCCGGCGAUGCGCGAGGAGUUCCGGCGAGGAAGGUCGGUCAGUGGACAUGGCCGAGGCCCGCGGUGUCCGCGUGUGGGAGCUGCAGGGCUGAGGAGAGGCCGCCCGCAACCCUCGGGAAUCGUGUGAGGAACAGAAUUGCCAUUGGGCCCAGGGAGAGACUACACUUCUUGUCUGCUUUGUUGCUAGUGCGGCCUUGUGGCCAAGCACAGAACGUGUGCAGUGAUGAUGGUGCAACUUCUAGGUCGUCCCCAGCAUGGAAAAUGAGCCCUGGGCAUGGAAGAUGAGCCCUGGUCCUGCAGCGGUGCUCUUUCCUCUUCUCACAAGCUGGAAUGUGCAUGUGCUCCCACCCAGCUUUGACCAUGGGGCGAAAACAG